AGUGAACGCUGGCGGCAGGCCUAACACAUGCAAGUCGGGCGGCAGAACGGUGCUUGCUCGUGGAUACGGCGGCGGACUGGCGAGUAGUGCCUAGGAACAUCCGUGUCUGCGUUUGCUAACGUGCGGACACGGGCGCUCAUACCGCAUAAGCCCUGAGGGCGUACGUGGGGGAUCUUCGGACUUCACGCCAUCAGCUGAGCCUAGGUCGGAUUAGCUAGUUGGUGGGGUAAAGGCCUACCAAGGCGACGAUCCGUAACUGGUCUGAGAGGAUGAUCAGUCACACUGGAACUGAGACACGGUCCAGACUCCUACGGGAGGCAGCAGUGGGGAAUAUUGGACAAUGGGCGCAAGCCUGAUCCAGCCAUGCCGCGUGUGUGAAGAAGGUCUUCGGAUUGUAAAGCACUUUUGGUUGGGAAGAAAAGCAGUAAGUUAAUACCCCGCUGUUCUGACGUUACCAACAGAAUAAGCACCGGCUAACUUCGUG
rnacentral:rRNA from 1 species